rnacentral:rRNA from 1 species
UACGUAGGUGGCAAGCGUUGUCCGGAUUUACUGGGCGUAAAGAGCGCGCAGGCGGUCGUUCAAGUCGCGUGUGAAAGCCCCCCGGCUCAACUGGGGAGGGUCACGCGAUACUGAUCGACUCGAAAGGCAGGAGAGGGAUGUGGAAUUCCAGGUGUAGCGGUGAAAUGCGUAGAUAUCUGGAGGAACACCGGUGGCGAAGGCGGCAUCCUGGACCGGUAUUGACGCUGAGGCGCGAAAGCUAGGGGAGCAAACGGGG